UACGUAGGGUGCAAGCGUUGUCCGGAAUUAUUGGGCGUAAAGAGCUCGUAGGCGGUCUGUCGCGUCGGCUGUGAAAACUCGGGGCUCAACUCCGAGCUUGCAGUCGAUACGGGCAGGCUAGAGUUCGGCAGGGGAGACUGGAAUUCCUGGUGUAGCGGUGAAAUGCGCAGAUAUCAGGAGGAACACCAGUAGCGAAGGCGGCACUCUGGGCCGGUACUGACGCUGAGGAGCGAAAGCGUGGGGAGCGAACAGG
rnacentral:rRNA from 1 species